UGUGAAAAUAAAUAGGAGAUUUGUUCAAGUCUCCUGGUAGCUGGAGAAGAAAUGGCUCUCUCAACUCCCAGUUGAGGGCAAUAACAAUGAAUGUUCUCUUGGGAAGAAAAAAUUUUUACUUGGAGAGAAGUGACUCCAUUCCAACUGAGGAAGAGGUAGGUAGGAUCUUGGGGAGGAGCAAUGAGUUGGUGUGUGAUGAGGCAUUUGGCAACAGCCCUGUCCUGAAGGCCCAGAAG
rnacentral:lncRNA from 1 species